CGGGAAGGCCAUAUGGCGACAUAGAGCGGAACCCGAAAACCUAGUCUCAGUUCGGAUUGGAGUCUGCAACCCGACUCCAUGAAGCUGGAUUCGCUAGUAAUCGCGCAUCAGCCACGGCGCGGUGAAUACGUUCCCGGGCCUUGUACACACCGCCCGUCAAGCCAUGGAAGCCGGGAGUGCCUGAAGUGCGUGAGCGCAAGCAGCGCCCUAAGGUAAAACCGGUGACUGGGGCUAAGUCGUAACAAGGUAUC
rnacentral:rRNA from 1 species